rnacentral:rRNA from 1 species
UACGUAGGUGGCGAGCGUUGUCCGGAUUUACUGGGCGUAAAGCGCGCGUAGGUGGCCUGUUAAGUUUUGCGUGAAAGGUUCCGGCCCAACCGGGACAGUGCGCGAGAUACUGGCGGGCUUGAGGGCAGCAGAGGCUGAUGGAAUUCCCGGUGGAGUGGUGAAAUGCGUAGAUAUCGGGAGGAACACCAGUGGCGAAGGCGAUCAGCUGGGCUGUCCCUGACGCUGAGGUGCGAAAGCGUGGGGAGCGAACCGGAUUAGAUACCCGGGUAGUCCACGCCCUAAACGGUGGCAACUAGGUGUGGGGGGUAUCGACCCCCUCCGUGCCGCAGCUAACGCGUUAAGUUGCCCGCCUGGGGACUACGGCCGCAAGGUUAAA